rnacentral:sRNA from 1 species
CCGUGGGAUGAAUCCCACGGCUACCGUCAAACGCCCCUCUGGGGCU